UUCAGGUUGCAAGAGACUGACAACAAGAAUGGUGGAGCAACAUGCGAUGUCCGUCAUCCCACCUAAAAGGAAAUACUACAUCACUGACAGAAAGUUGGCCCACAGUUCAGCCAUCAAAGACUGAACUACGCAUAUGAGGAUGAGGGAUUGUGGGUCCAGGUUGUCCUGCCUGGCCAAGAAUGGAAGUGUACAAGUUGAAACACACAUCUUAAUGUGAACCAGACUUGGUGGGGGAUUCACCACUAUAUCCUGCCAGCUCUUAACCUACCUCCAGUUAAUCAAGACACAGCAGUUCACUAGCAGUGUGGAAGCACAGAUACUUGCUCUCUGUGCCCAGGCCCCACAUUUCAUCCAAGAAGAUGCCUUCCCCCAGUAGCUGUGCUAUUGACAUGAAUUACUAUUGGCAGGUUCUUGUAUAUCAACCAAAUGGAUG